AGACACACGAGUGAUUAUUUACCACCAGCAAGCGAUCAUCAAAUCAUGUCUAUGCAGAGGAGUUAAACAGGGAGUACUCGGUGCUGAAGUCCUCGUUGGGCGAGUCCAUGAAAGCUCCCCCCAUCAUGGGCAGCUGCAAAGAAGGAGAGAGAGAAUUAUCCAGGGCCAUGGGGGCUUGGGCAGAUGUACCCUGCAAAAGGGAAGUGGUCUGGUCAAACAACCCCACAUGAAGCUACGAUCUCUACUGCACCUGCAAAACGGGGCUUUGCUUUUGUGGUUUUAUAAUUGAUGGUAAUCUAUAAAAAUCAGUGUUCACAGCAGCCUUUUGAGGCAGACGUUCUCAUGCCCACGCUACUACGAAAGCAUCAAGGAACUCACCCAACAGCUAGCUGGUGACUCACCAGGACUCACAGCAACCCCUCCAGCCAUUCCCCUCCCCCCAUGCCAGGCUCCUCCAUAAUGACAUGGGUUGUAAAAUGCCUUCAUUCCUCUUCUAAUUUUAAAAAUAAUAUAUGCUUAGCAUAGAACCCUAAGAAAAUAUAA
rnacentral:lncRNA from 1 species